rnacentral:rRNA from 1 species
CAGUGGGGAAUAUUGCACAAUGGGGGAAACCCUGAUGCAGCGACGCCGCGUGAGUGAAGAAGUAUUUCGGUAUGUAAAGCUCUAUCAGCAGGGAAGAAAUACUGACCAUAGGGUCAGCAGACGGUACUUGACUAAGAAGCCCCGGCUAACUACGUGCCAGCAGCCGCGGUAAUACGUAGGGGGCAAGCGUUAUCCGGAUUUACUGGGUGUAAAGGGAGCGUAGACGG